CACAGGUGUGUAGCGAGAGAGAGAGAGAGGGAAAGUAGUGUGUGAGUGAAAUCGUGUAACUUGAUGGACUGAGGAGCGUCGCAUGCGCAGUGUUUACAAACAAAUGUGUAGCUGGUGUCUGAGAUUAUCUGCCCGACAGUCUUUGCCAGGAUACUCAUGCUACAUAUUUUCUGCUAGCAGCAGGAGAUACUUCUACUCGAAGUUUGUUAUACAGUUGUUCACGUUUGUUUGUUUAUUAGCUCAGUAGCCGAACUUGUGUUUGUUAGCAUUCAUUAGCAAAGUGAAUGGACUCAUAGUCACUAUAACUAACACACGAGUGAUUUAUUAGCAUUCAUUAGCACAGUGAAUGGACUUGUAGCCGCUGUGUAGCUAACCCAGCUAACGCUAUAGGCUUUAGUUCAUUGUUUUCGACGUGGAAACCCUGAGGAUUUAAUGGACAGUGCUAUGAGCUACUAAGUCAACGCUCAGAGAGACUUUUCACUACAUGGGCCGGACCCGCCAUUUUUGGACUUCAGCGUGUAUCCUGCUCCUUCCCGGAGACCGAGGGCUGGUAUAAACUGCAUCCUGUUCCCUCCCGGAGACCGAGAGGCUGGUAUAAACUGCUGAUUGGAGUCAGACUUCAUGACCAAGACAUUGCUUUUUACCAGUUGGACAUGAGGGUGCAGCCAUAGGAAUCAACGGUGCGGCAGGGAGCAGAGACCAGACCUUCAGAAUACGGAAAGAAGACUGAGGCUGGCGACACAGAGGAAGGCACGCCCAAGGAAGACACAGCAGGGAACCACAAAGGGCCAGAGAGAACUGCGAGACAAGCCACCACACGAGCCUAAAGUGCAGCAGCCCGUGUCCGUUUGGCGUGAAUACUGGGCCAGUAGCCUGUCUUUACCGCCCAGUGAACCAAGAGUAUCACCAUUGUUUUGUGGCAGACACCGGGAGGGCUGGCUGUGGGGCCGGGCAAGGGGUGGCAAAUCUGAGCUGGUGUAUCUGCAGGAUACUGGCGGUUGUUGUCUGUUUUUCCAGGAUGAGUGGAGCACCAGAGAGAGGGCAGCGGCGGCCGCAGGAUACAGGGAGCCAAGAACUGUGUGGGAGACUUUUAAGAUUGUUUAUUUAUGGGACAUUUUAGGACCCUUAGACAUUUUAUAGUUGCCUUUUACUUAACAUUGCUUUAUGGUAAUAUUACCUGGGUUUUAGUAUUUUUUAACAGAUUGUAUUUUUACUUUUAAAGUUUUGCAAUAAAUUAUUCUUUUACUCA